AUAAUCGAUUUACGGAUUUAAUUGUGUAAAUUUAUAAUUAUUUAUUAAUUAUUUGACUUCCGUAAAACCGUUCACUCGUAACGAGGUAGCAAAUUUUCUUCCCGGAAGUUUCGAGAAAACUCACCUUUAGCCUAAUUUGAAUAUUCCGGACAUUUUUCGUGUUUUGACUUUUUCGAUCCGGAGUACGGUUUGUUCCGGAGCCGGUCCGGCGGAGCUUUUCGGUAUUCGAUAAUUAUCCAGUUUGUCUCGAUAAACGUGAAACGAGAUAUUUUCUUCAUCCUUAUCUUGUCAUAAUUGCCAUGGGACCCGCAAACCAAUAAUUGAGUUAAAAAGCCCCGUUUUGAUGAUUAUCUUGAAAACUAGUACCGAUUGGACCCCACUUUCUUAAUAUAAAGCUAUUAAAUACGUAUUUUCAUGCCAUAAACGAUCCAAAGGGGUACCAAUUAUUUGUAAAUAUAAAUAUACCUUUCUAGAGCUUAUUUUCACCCGUAAAAUCAUUUCACCAGUUUCUCUGCACGAAUACCGAGAGAAACCGAGCGGUGUUCUUCGUGUUCUUCAUAAUCAAACGAAGAUUUGAAGGCGUUAUUGGAGUCAGAAUCAAGCGUGCGAAUAGUCAAAUCGAAGAUAUCGAAGAGUAGAAUCUAUAUCUGCAAUCAAAAACAACCUGAGAUUCACAGAAAGGCUUAAAGAUGAGAUGAUUGAUUGAGAUUGUGGAUAAGGCUAAUGCUAGGCGAGGAGACAGAGUUGAGGAUCCAGUGGUCGAGGAGUGUUCAGGAAAGUUGAUGAGGUUGGUGCAAGCUGGAAUAGUUGACAGUGAUUCUUCUUAUCGAAGAUGAUCUGAUUCGGUAAGAGAUGUUGUGUAAUAAUAGUGGUAGAUUCUAAUUUCAAUACUGUAACCUGGAUGCGAUCCUGUUGCUUUUAGGGGGUUUAAAUGUUCUCUUUCGAAUCAUUUAUUAAAGUUUAAAUGUUCUCUUGAAA